rnacentral:rRNA from 1 species
CCUACGGGAGGCAGCAGUGGGGAAUUUUGGACAAUGGACGCAAGUCUGAUCCAGCCAUUCCGCGUGCAGGACGAAGGCCUUCGGGUUGUAAACUGCUUUUGUACGGAACGAAAAAAGCUCUUAUUAAUACUAGGAGUCCAUGACGGUACCGUAAGAAUAAGCACCGGCUAACUACGUGCCAGCAGCCGCGGUAAUACGUAGGGUGCAAGCGUUAAUCGGAAUUACUGGGCGUAAAGCGUGCGCAGGCGGUUAUAUAAGACAGAUGUGAAAUCCCCGAGCUUAACUUGGGAACUGCAUUUGUGACUGUAUAGCUAGAGUACGGCAGAGGGGGAUGGAAUUCCGCGUGUAGCAGUGAAAUGCGUAGAUAUGCGGAGGAACACCGAUGGCGAAGGCAAUCCCCUGGGCCUGUACUGACGCUCAUGCACGAAAGCGUGGGGAGCAAACAGGAUUAGAUACCCUGGUAGUCCACGCCCUAAACGAUGUCAACUGGUUGUUGGGUCUUCACUGACUCAGUAACGAAGCUAACGCGUGAAGUUGACCGCCUGGGGAGUACGGCCGCGAAGGUUGAAACUCAAAGGAAUUGACGG